UAGGUCUGUAGAACCUAAGGCUGAAUUAGAGGUUGUCAAUGAUGUUGUGAGUGCUGAAAUAACUGCUGGUAAGGUUAAGGUCUGGCCCACAAAGAAGCUGAUACCCACUAGUAAAUUGAAUGUCAAAUAUGCCAUCCUCAAUAGGAUAGGGUCAACAAAUUGGGUGCCAACUAAGCAUGCAACCAAUGUUGCUACAAACC
rnacentral:lncRNA from 1 species